UCGGGAAUUUUGGGCAAUGGGCGAAAGCCUGACCCAGCAACGCCGCGUGAGGGAUGAAGUAUUUCGGUAUGUAAACCUCGAAAGAAUGGGAAGAAUAAAUGACGGUACCAUUUAUAAGCUCCGGCUAACUACGUGCCAGCAGUCGCGGUAAUACGUAGGGAGCAAGCGUUGUUCGGAUUUGCUGGGCGUAAAGGGCGCGUAGGCGGCGCGGUAAGUCACUUGUGAAAUCUCUGAGCUUAACUCAGAACGGCCAAGUGAUACUGCUGUGCUAGAGUGCGGAAGAGGCAACCGGAAUUCUUGGUGUAGCGGUGAAAUGCGUAGAUAUCAAGAGGAACUCCUGAGGCGAAGGCUGGUUGUUGGGCCGACACUGACGCUGAUGCGCGAAAGCC
rnacentral:rRNA from 1 species